GCGGCCUAUCAGCUUGUUGGUGAGGUAAAGGCUCACCAAGGCGACGACGGGUAGCCGGCCUGAGAGGGCGACCGGCCACACUGGGACUGAGACACGGCCCAGACUCCUACGGGAGGCAGCAGUAGGGAAUAUUGGGCAAUGGGCGAAAGCCUGACCCAGCGACGCCGCGUGAGGGAUGAAGGUCUUCGGAUUGUAAACCUCUUUCAGUAGGGAAGAAGCGAAAGUGACGGUACCUAAAGAAGAAGCACCGGCUAACUAUGUGCCAGCAGCCGCGGUAAUACAUAGGGUGCAAGCGUUGUCCGGAAUUAUUGGGCGUAAAGAGCUCGUAGGUCGUUUGUCGCGUCGAUUGUGAAAAUCUGAGGCUCAACCUCAGACCUGCAGUCGAUACGGGCAAACUAGAGUGUGGUAGGGGAGACUGGAAUUCCU
rnacentral:rRNA from 1 species